rnacentral:lncRNA from 1 species
CGCAACACAAGCCCGCAGUACUUGGUGAAGAGCAUGUGUCGUAGGCGUCUCGCCGAGCCUUCAAAACCUUUGGAAAAAAAAUCGAAUAAUUGAAUUCUAAGGAAUAAAAUGCGACAGAUAUGCAGCUGCAGCUUGGUACCUCAAGAUGAGCAGCAGGACAAUGGUGUCCGCCGCCACUGUAAUCUGAUAAUGCAACCUCCGGCGGGGCGCCUCACUUAUGGGCCGUUAGGCGUGGCCUUCGCAAGGAUAAUUUUUUUCCAAAAACGGUGAAUAAGUGGGGCCCAGUGAAGGUGGAGGGGCCGUUGACCAAGCUCUCUAAACAACACACGAUUAUCCGGUAUCCUCCCUAACCUAGGGAGAUGCUUCAGAAACGUGCGCUGCAGCUCGACCAUGCAUUCCCUAGAGACCUUUCGG